rnacentral:rRNA from 1 species
UCCCUACGGGACGCAGCAGUCGGGAAUAUUGCGCAAUGGAGGAAACUCUGACGCAGCGACGCCGCGUGCGGGACGAAGGCCUUCGGGUCGUAAACCGCUUUCAGCAGGGACGAGGCCCUCACGGUGACGGUACCUGCAGAAGAAGCCCCGGCUAACUACGUGCCAGCAGCCGCAGUAAUACGUAGGGGGCGAGCGUUAUCCGGAUUCAUUGGGCGUAAAGCGCGCGUAGGCGGCCUGUUAGGUCGGGGGUCAAAUACCGGGGCUCAACCCCGGUCCGCCCCCGAUACCGGCAGGCUUGAGUCUGG